UGAAACCCCUGUCUCAAAAAAAAAAAAAAAAAAAUACAGUAAAGUUUAGUAUGGCCCCUGUCCAAGGAUGGCACACAAAUUUGUAAAAUGUUUCAUAGUUUU